rnacentral:rRNA from 1 species
UACGUAGGUGGCAAGCGUUGUCCGGAUUUACUGGGCGUAAAGAGCGCGCAGGCGGUUGGAUAAGUCGAAUGUGAAAGCCCCCGGCUCAACUGGGGAGGGUCAUUCGAUACUGUCCGACUCGAAGGCAGGAGAGGGAAGCGGAAUUCCCGGUGUAGUGGUGAAAUGCGUAGAUAUCGGGGAGGAACACCAGUGGCGAAGGCGGCUCACUGGCCCGAUACUGACGCUGAGGCACGAAAGCGUGGGGAGCAAACAGG